rnacentral:lncRNA from 1 species
CUGGAAUUUGUUCACUUCCUGUGGAGAGAGAUAGGCAGCAGUUGGUGCUAGGAGCUUAAGCAGGGAGAAGGCCCACAGACAGCUUUCCUUCAGAUCCGUCAGAACCAUGAUAACAGUGACAGGAUUUCCUCAAAGAAUGACAGUCUUCCCCAGAACAGAAAAUAUAUAAGACUGAUAAUAACCUUGCUUCUAUUCUAAAGAAGAAGGUCAUGUGGCAGAAUGAAACAUGUGAUUCUUCACUUCAUUUUCUCCACGAAUUUCCUCAAAUGUGUUGUCAAGAUUCAUCCUAUAAUGGAAGAAGAGCAAGUUUGUUGGCCAACAAAUGUGGGAAAGGGAAUGCUAAAUGAAAGAGAUGUUUUUGUUAUUACUGAUUUGUUGUAUGGGCUUCAAUCAUAUUGG